rnacentral:tRNA from 1 species
AUAAAGUGCCUGAUUAAAGGAUUAUUCUGAUAGGAUAAUUUAAGUAGAUAUAUUCUACCUUUAUU